rnacentral:rRNA from 1 species
AUUGAACGCUGGCGGCAGGCCUAACACAUGCAAGUCGAACGGUAACAGGAAGCAGCUUGCUGCUUUGCUGACGAGUGGCGGACGGGUGAGUAAUGUCUGGGAAACUGCCUGAUGGAGGGGGAUAACUACUGGAAACGGUAGCUAAUACCGCAUAAUGUCGCAAGACCAAAGAGGGGGACCUUCGGGCCUUUUGCCUUCGACUUUUCCCAGAUGGCAUUAGCUAGUAGGUGGGUGAAAGGCUCACCUAGGCGCCGAUCCCUAGCUGGUCUGAGAGGAUGACCAGCCACACUGGAACUGAGACACGGUCCAGACUCCUACGGGAGGCAGCAGUGGGGAAUAUUGCACAAUGGGCGCAAGCCUGAUGCAGCCAUGCCGCGUGUAUGAAGAAGGCCUUCGGGUUGUAAAGUACUUUCAGCGGGGAGGAAGGGAGUAAAGUUAAUACCUUUGCUCAUUGACGUUACCCGCAGAAGAAGCACCGGCUAACUCCGUG